UGGGGAAUAUUGCACAAUGGAGGGAACUCUGAUGCAGCGACGCCGCGUGAGUGAUGAAGGAAUUCGUUUCGUAAAACUCUGUUCUAUGGGAAGAAAAGGACUGUACCAUAGGAGAAAGCUCCGGCCAAAUACGUGCCAGCAGCCGCGGUAAUACGUAUGGAGCGAGCGUUGUCCGGAAUUAUUGGGCGUAAAGGGUGCGCAGGCGGCUUUACAAGUUGGAUGUGAAAUAUUGUGGCUGAACCACAAACGUGCAUCCAAAACUGCAAAGCUUGAGUUAAGGAGAGGUAAGGGGAAUUCCUGGUGUGGCGGUAGAAUGCGUAGAUAUCAGAAGGAAUACCGGUGGCGAAGGCGACUUACUGGACUUAAACUGACGCUCAGGCACGAAAGCGUGGGGAGCAAGCGGG
rnacentral:rRNA from 1 species